rnacentral:lncRNA from 1 species
GGGGUCUAUGGGGGUGUAGAGAUGGUAGGUGGUGGUGUAGAGAUGGUAGGUGGUGGUCUGUGGUGGUGUAGAGAUGGUCUGUGGUGGUGUAGAGAUGGUAGGUGAAGUGUCUGUGGUGUUGCAGAGAUGGUAGGUGGUGGUCUGUGGUGGUGUAGAGAUGGUAGGUGAAGUGUCUGUGGUGUUGCAGAGAUGGUAGGUGGGGGUCUGUGGUGGUGUAGAGAUGGUAGGUGGUGGUCUGUGGUGGUGUAGAGAUGGUAUGUGGGGGUCUGUGGUGGUGUAGAGAUGGUCUGUGGUGGUCUGUGGUGGUGUAGAGAUGGAAGGUGGGGGUCUGUGGUGGUGUAGAGAAUGUAAUUGGGGGUCUGUGGUGGUGUAGAGAUGGUCUGUGUUGGUCUGUGGUGGUGUAGAGAUGGUAGAUGGUGGUGUAGAGAUGGUAGGUGGUGGUCUGUGGUGGUGUAGAGAUGGUAGGUGGUGGUCUG